rnacentral:rRNA from 1 species
ACAGAGGCGGCAAGCGUUGUUCGGAAUUAUUGGGCGUAAAGAGCAUGUAGGCGGCUAUGUAAGUCAGUUGUGAAAGCCUUCCGCUUAACGGAAGAAUGGCGGUCGAAACUGCAUGGCUUGAGUGCGGGAGGGGAGCGUGGAAUUCCUGGUGUAGCGGUGAAAUGCGUAGAUAUCAGGAGGAACACCGGUGGCGAAAGCGACUCUCUAGACCGUAACUGACGCUGAGUGUGCGAAAGCUAGGGGAGCAAACGG